GAGUUGUUUGCUGUGCAGGAAGAAACUGGGUGGAGAUGAAUGUCAGGGGCAGUUUCUGGCUUGUUUGAUGCUAGGCUGGGGCACUUAUGUAAUGACAAGUUGUAAGGACUAUCUUAAAAUAACAACAAUAAUAACAAUAACAAAAAGAGAGCUGGAGUGUUUACUGACAGCUGCCGCAUGCCAGGCAGGAGAAUGAGGAUGGCUACGGGAUGGAAAAGAUGAGGGUCCUGGAUGGGUUUCCCUAACUUACGUAGGUGGUUCAGGGGGCCCAGGAAACUCACUGUUAAAGGAUUUGGGGAACUCGAUCCAGCAACUCCACUCUUCUAGAAACUUCCCCUGUACUUCUGAUUCAGGGUCUGACUGAUGAGCUUAGGUCUGUAUGGGGAGUCAGAUCCCGGCUGGAGACCCAAUGCUAUGAAGUCAGGUAUCUCUGUCCCAAAUGCACAAAGUUGCACGAGACAUUCACCAAGCACAUUAAUAAAGCAAAAUAAGAAGUUCUUCCUUUCCCAGGCAUCAACAGUAACUGACAGAAGAAUCUGAGCUGAAAAACCAAUAGCACCACCAGUGUGCAUAUGACACCCAUAAACCUGCUUCCUGUGGAGAGCUUCCUAAUUGGACAGUUUAGAGACCUCUCUCCUAUAUCCAAACACUGCAUCUCAUCCAUGAUCCAGACAGGAUAUACAUCAGGAGCUGCUGUAUCCUUCUAGCCAAGUGUGACCUAAAGACUCCUGGUUGUCAUGCCCCCAAUUCACACCUAGGAAAUGAUGGAAAUAUACCCUAGGCUGCACUCAUGUGCGUGUGCGUGCAGACACACACUCUCACACACACACACACUCACACACACACAGAGGACACUAAUGUGCAAAACUUCAGAGCUCAGGAACCACAUUUCCUGCCAUGCUGUUCAUUCAGGAGUGAGACUUAGGCUGAUGACCAGAAACAGGGCAAAAGAUGCAGACGGAGUCUGGAUGGGCCUCAGAUCUCUGGUUCUGGUCUUUUCUCAGGCUAAGCAGCAUCCCUGUCUCCCUCAUCAACAAUUUUCUUGCUCAAUAAAAAAAAGCCUGGGCAACAUAGUGAGACCCCAUCUCUAUGAACAAUAAAAAAAUUAGCUGGGCAUGGAGUCACACAUCCUUGUGGUCCCAGCUACUCAAGUAGCUGAAAUGGGAGGAUCGCUUGAGCCCAGGAGGUUGAGGCUGCAAUGAGCCAUGAUCAUGCGAAUGCACUCCAGCCUGGGAGAUGAGUUAAGACUCUGUCUCAAAACAAACAAACAAAUGACAACAACAACAAAAUCUCAGGCCGGGUGCAGUGGCUCAUGCCUAUAAUCCCAGCACUUUGGGAGGCCAAGGCA
rnacentral:lncRNA from 1 species